GUGAAUCAUCGAAUUUUUGAACGCAAAUCGCACUCUCCGCGGCGAGAAUGAGUGUUUGAGGGUGAGCCUAUAAAAAUCGACAUCGUUGCUGUUUCGCGGUGGGGUCCGUCGGAAAUUGGGUCAGCUUAAAUCCUUUUGAUUUAAGCGACUUAAAAUGUUCGUUUGGUUCCAUGAACGUUUCUAAGAUCUAUU
rnacentral:misc_RNA from 1 species